GGAAACAAAGAUGGAAGAUGACUCUGUCUAUGCGAAGGUGUCCAACCCAACGCGAGUUAAAAAGAAUUAAACCAGAGAGCCUACGGGACUAUGAUGACGUGAGAUUCACAGCGACGCCCCGACGUCAGACGACCAACAGAGACUCCAGCAGCUCACACCAAGAUGAGAGUUAAUACUCUGAUGUCAGGAUUUGACCCGAGAUGUUCUCGUCCUGCUUUUUACAGCUACCUCGGGCCUGAGGAAGUUUAUAUUCACAAUAACUCAUCACUGAGAGUCUGAAGAGUUCAUGUGUUAAUUAAAAUAGGUCGUAGCUGUAAAUCUACAGUAAUGUAAUCUGGUCAACAAACCUUUUGCAGCUACAACAAAACCCUGCAUGUUGCCAUUAGGAGUAUUUUAAUACUAGUUAUCAAGAAGGUACAGAAGUUACAUUACUGAGCUUAAAUGGAUAAAUAUUUGAAACUGUUAAUUAAAGGUUUUGGUGAAAAUAGGGAACAUAGCAAAAUGUGAGGGAUAAACGGUUGAAAUCCUUCUUUUGCAACUUAAAUGUAUAUA